rnacentral:lncRNA from 1 species
CCCUGCAUACAUACAUCCAGAAAACAAAGGAAACUUUAGAUUGAUAUGUGUGGAAAAAUAUUAAGUGAAGUUUUGAUGAAUUAGCUAGGAGGAGGUAGAUUAGGGAAUUCGAUUUCACUACUUCACCUUGAGGAUUUGGUUGAUGAUGUAGUAACUAAUGAUGAAUUACUUGGUGAUGGCGUAGAUGGCGUAGAUGAUGCCGGGGAUGUAGCCGAGGAAGGUGAGCAACAGGCAGAUCCAGAACUCAUGCUGCAUAUAUAUGUGCAAGUUAAUUAGCAAGAGCAAAUCGAUCGACCAAAUUAAGCAAAAGGCAUGGAAGAAACUAAGGUAACAGAGAGUAAUUUAAUUAGGUACUCCAUAAUUACCCCGCAUCCGAACUUGAGGAAGACGCCGAGGGGCGGGAGGAUGAUGGCGAUGAGGAUGUCGAUGCAGUUCGCCGUUCCCGCCAUCUCUCCUCGAUCAAAAAUUGAUAGUAGAUGAACACUCUACUGAUUAAUUUCUCUCGCAGUAUUACCAACAGCAACAAGAACAAGAAGAAGCAGAAGCAAAAUAGCUGCAAAGUAAAGUAGCAGUGGGCAACUCUGAACUGCAACUGAUGAACUGACUGGCUUUGG